rnacentral:rRNA from 1 species
AAGCGUUUAUGACCAGACUUGGGCUUGGUUAAUCAUCUGGGGUUCUCCCCAGUGCACUUUUCCAGUCCAGGCCAGCAUCAGUUUUCCCCGGGGGAUAAAGGCGGCGGGAAUGUGGCUCUCUUCGGGGAGUGUUAUAGCCCAUUGUAGAAUACUCCUGGUGUGGACCGAGGACCGCGCCUUGUGCAAGGAUGCUGGCGUAAUGGUCGUCAGCGA